rnacentral:rRNA from 1 species
AACGCUAGCUACAGGCUUACACAUGCNAGUCGAGGGCAGCAUGAACUUAGCUUGCUAAGUUUGAUGGCGACCGGCGCACGGGUGAGUAACGCGUAUCCAACCUUCCGUUUACUCAGGGAUAGCCUUUCGAAAGAAAGAUUAAUACCUGAUAGUAUGGUGAGAUUGCAUGAUAGCACCAUUAAAGAUUUAUUGGUAAACGAUGGGGAUGCGUUCCAUUAGGUAGUAGGCGGGGUAACGGCCCACCUAGCCAACGAUGGAUAGGGGUUCUGAGAGGAAGGUCCCCCACAUUGGAACUGAGACACGGUCCAAACUCCUACGGGAGGCAGCAGUGAGGAAUAUUGGUCAAUGGGCGAGAGCCUGAACCAGCCAAGUAGCGUGAAGGAUGAAGGUCCUACGGAUUGUAAACUUCUUUUAUACGGGAAUAAAGUAUCCUACGUGUAGGAUUUUGUAUGUACCGUAUGAAUAAGCAUCGGCUAACUCCGUGCCAGCAGCCGCGGUAAUACGGAGGAUGCGAGCGUUAUCCGGAUUUAUUGGGUUUAAAGGGAGCGCAGACGGGAGAUUAAGUCAGUUGUGAAAGUUUGCGGCUCAACCGUAAAAUUGCAGUUGAUACUGGUUUCCUUGAGUGCAGUUGAGGCAGGCGGAAUUCGUGGUGUAGCGGUGAAAUGCUUAGAUAUCACGAAGAACUCCGAUUG